rnacentral:lncRNA from 1 species
CCCACAUCUUUAUCCAUGCUGUCCUUUAUUUUCAAUUACCUACCUCUCCUUACAGUCUGUCAACAGGAUCAAGCCUAUUUGAACUCAGUUGGAAUUGUUGCCUUAAUCAGCUAAGAAAUCUUGGCAUUGUCUUUUGAAAAUGGAACUGGGGAAAGUGGGAAUAAUACAGAGAGCCUUCCAGGGAAAAGAACAGAAUGACAAAGUAGCCAUCGUGCCAGGGCCUUGCUAGAGCAUCCACAGCCUGAGAUGACCACCCUCUGUACCACAGAGAUCAUCCUUCAGAUCCCCUUCAUCCUCUGCAAGUACCUCUGCUGAUGGAGAUGCUUACUCAUAGGGAUAUCCAGAUGUUACAUGUCCAUAAAGGGUCUGAGCACCUGGUUACCUUGCCCUAGAAAGGCACCUGUCCAACUCCUCUUCUCCUCCCCAAGAUGUACAGAUUUGAGCUGAAAGUAAGGAAUUUGUGCUCAAGAGUGAUGACUGCUCAAGGAAUGCUCCUCAAAAUCUUAAGCAAUUCUGAGUCACCAACUCAUAAGAAAACAGAACUGUGCCAAGAUUACAACCAGGUGAAUUGCAUUUCUCUAUGUCUCCAACAACUGGAGGUAUAGUGGAUAGUGUCCUGUGUCAUCCAAGAAGAGACCACAGAGCCUGCAGAACUGAUACAGAGGAGAAGGCCAUGUGAAGACAGAGGCGGACUGGAGUGAUGCUGCCACAAGCCAAGGAACACCUGGAGUCACUAGUAGCUGGAAGAGGUCACACCCAAGGCACCACUGGGGUCUCUUCUGACCAGAUGAUGAAAUGGGAGAAAAAGGAUGUCAAUCCUUUGAAGAGUUCCAGCCGGCCUAAACUGCUCCACAAGAUGGCAUGGAGGAGACAAUGUCUACCAAAGCAACAAGUAAUGUGCUCAUGAGAGGGGUAUCAGCAUCGUUAAGAAGUUCAGUGGUGGCUGCCCUCUGUAAGCCAGAACUGACACUAGGAGAUGCCAUUACAGAACUGGAACUGCUGAGAGAAAAGCUGACAAUCAGAUUCUGAAACAGUAGAGGCAGGUGAUGAUGCAAACCAUCAGAAGCCAAGUGAUACAAUUAUUAUAAUCAGAAGAGUGGUCAGAGUGGCAGCCAGAGGGUUGCAAUCUGGCUCGAAGAGAUCUGAACCAUGAGAACAUUUUGUGGAAUGUAACAUGGGUCCACUAUAUAGAUGACAUCAUGGUAAUCUGGCUAGAUGAGCAAAAAGUGGCUGACACUUUGGAGGCCUUCUUAAGGCACAUGUAUAUGGGUAAGGGUAAGAAAGAAUCUCUGAUGAUUUGCAGGUCCACUGCAUCAAUGAAAUGUUUAGGGCUUCAGGGGUAUUGGGUAUUCCAGCAUGCCCACUUCCCCUACAUUCUAUAUUCCUUCCUCUACCCUCUAGCUGGGCAACUCAGGCUUUUCCCACUUCACUGGGUGCUGCCCACCAUCUUUUCUAGGCUUCUAGUUGCAAUCUUAGCAGCGAGUUUGCUCCAUGCCCUGGGGUCCUUGCCAAUGUCUUAAAUUCAAUGUCUUGAGAAAGUGCCCUGAAAUCAAUGAGUUUUUCAUUUUACAGGCUUGUAUUUUAGCCCCCCUUGAUUAGGCACCCUCAAAAUCCAAACCGAAGUGUACUCCCCUGAUUCUUCAUGGCACAUGCUAGUUAAUUCUUGCAACAGCUGUAGAGUUUUCCCUUCACUUAUCAGUCCCAGCACCUCCUCAGCUGGGUUAUGCUGAGAUUUAACUCUAGUUAUCAGCCUAGAAUCCAGGAAAGGAAGUGGCGGUAGCUCUGGGGUACAGUUUAGGGCAGCUGUUGUCUUGUGAAGGAGAGACCUCUGCAGCAUCUUCCAGCAUAGGGAAAAUGCUAGCUCUUCCUAGGGAAAGUGGGUGACCUCUACAAACCCAGAGGGUCUUGUAGAGUCAGCAUCUUCAGAGGCAUCCAUCCAGAUGUCCAGAUUCCAUGUUUUAAGGACCCAGGUUUGCCCCACUAGGGCCUUGACCUUUGCAUAACAAAAAUACCUUGGCUGAGCAUUCCAAUGGCUCUGAAGCUCUGUGACUCUGACAAUUUAGGUUUGCAGACUAUUGCACAUCUGUGUCUGCCCUUCCACCUCAGGAGAUCCAG